AUAAAAACCGAUAAACCGAUCAAACCGACCGAACCAAACCAAACCGAACCGAAAAAUAAGGUUUUUUUGACCAAACCGAAAAAGUCAACGCUGGACCUGAACCGAACCGUUGACUUCGGUUCAGGCUUCGGGUCUAAAAUUUUUUGAACCGUUGGACCUGAACCGAACCGAUCAUUAUUUAAUUAUAUAUGCAUUUGACACAUGGCGUUGUCUCAUUGGCUUAAAUAAGAACUUUGGGUGGGUCUGCUUGCACUAUAUUAGAACCUCUCUCAAUUAUUUGUUUAUUAUUUUGUCAAUAACCCUCUCAGACUCUCACUCACUCACUCGGCCGUCUCUCUCUCUCUCUCUCUCACUCACGAAACUCACGAAACCAAACCCUACACUAUUUCUCUCCCGAUCUGAGACUAACCCUCACCUCAUCGGCCGCCGUCGGUGCGCGCUCUCUGUCUCUCUCUCGACUCGUCCCUUGGCUCUCUCUCACUCUUAGUCACAUCUUUAAGUCUCUUAGAGUCGCGCGAGACUCAUUCUCUUUCUCCAAACCGAACCAAACAUCAUCCAAUUUUAUUGGUUUUUGGAGCGAAUCCUUGUAAAUUCUGGAGGGCUCUGGUUCAUUCUAAGGUAAUUUGUAUGUAUUUGGUUUGAAUUCUUAGUUGUUUUCAUUUUCCCUAAUUUAGUAGAUUAUUAGGGUUCUGAAAUUUUGGUAUUCUGUUGUAAUUAACACAAUUUGUUCUUAAUUUUGCAGUAGUUGUGCUUAGUCUCUGUGGGUUUGGAUUAAUAGGCAAAAUUGAAGGUAUAAAUAUUUCUGUCUCAAUCUCUAUUUGUGGCUUAAAAUUGAAUGUGUGCAUUAGAAUUACAUAUUUUUAUAUCAUCAGCUCCACAUGGCUUUACUUUCGAUGUAUGGAUUUUUGGUAUUUCUUUCUUUAUGCUUAUGGUUUAGGCUGUUUAGGGGGUCCAAUUUGAGCUGGAUUGUUCCACAAUCUUGUGUGGCUUUAUUCUGCGAGAGGCCUAAGUUGUUUGGUGAUAGUAAGAGGGGUGUGGUUCUGGGGAUAAUUCUUUCGUUUCUAUAUAUUCAGUUUGGAGAGUUGUUUCCUAGUGCCUUGUUCUGUUGUUGUGGAUGCUUGUUUUUGCUGCUUUUGCUGAGAGCUUUUUUAGCGUAGUGGACUUCUUGUCCUCUGUUUUUGUAUUUGUUUGCUUUAAUCAAUGAAUUCUGUUUCAUAUAAAAUAAAAUAUGAUCUAGUCAUUUAGUGUAAAGUUACCUAGGAGGUACCUGUUAGAAAUCCAUGCAAUAUAUAAAGUGUUAACCUUGCUCAUAAAUAUGGUAUAAUGUUCAUUAAAAUAUUAAUAUAAAAGAAAUGAACGGAUUUUUGAAGAUGCGAGGGGGCAGAAGUGGAGGAGGUGCGGGAAAAAGCAAAGUACUGGGCAGUGCUGUAGGCUUCUGUUUCUCCUAUUUUGGGGAAUUCAUCUCUUUCAACCAUUUUGCUUGAUUGGGCUGCAGUGUCUUCAUUAGGAUUGUUUUUCUCAUAGUUGUAAAUGUCGGUACUAGUUUUCUUGUUUCCUUCUAUUAUUGCUGGAAUACUUGUCCACUUUUCUGUAUGGUUUUUUAAUGAAAAAAAAAUUUCUCCCUUUCUUUAAAAAAAUAUUUAUAUAUAUAAUAUAAAAGAAAUCUGCAUAUACUGCCGCUUUUUAAUUAUUUANUAAUCUGUUUUUAUAAUCUGUUUUUGUAAUCUGUUUUUGUAUUCUAUAAUUUGUAAUUUGUUUAAAUCUGUUUCUUGCAUCUUUGGAUAUGAAAAAUUUGUUUGUAAUGUGUUUAAAUCUGUAAUUUGUAAUCUGUAUGUAAUUUAAAUCUGUUUAAAUCUGUUUUGACUUUGUUUCUUGCAUCUUUGAAUAGGAAAAAUAUGUUUCUACUGUGUUUAAAUCUGAUUUUUGGAUAGGAUAUAUGUUUAGGGAGUUGUAUGCAUAGGAAAAUCUGUUUUGAUAGUUUAAAUGUGUUUUUUUAAAUAGGAUAUAUGUUUUAAUAUGUUUAUGGUUUUAAAUAUGGUUGUGUUUAAAUAUGGUUUUAAACUGUUUAUGAAUAGGAACCUGCUUCUAAUGAGGCUCAAAUGCAUGGGAAUGAUGAUUCUAUACUUGGUAGUGAUGUUGUUGUACCUCCUACAGCAGCAUCACAAAAUCCAACACCAUCACCAUCACCAUUAGAACCUAGUACCGGGAAAAGGAAACCUUGUAAGAAGGAGAGUGAUGUGUGGGAACAUUUUGAAAAGUAUGACUUGGUAUUGGAUUUGAAAGGGGUAGAUGAGAGUAAAAGAAAAGAAGUUGAAAAAAGGGCUAAGUGCAAGUAUUGUAGUGCUACUUAUGCUAGUACCAAGAAAAAUGGGACUAGCAACAUGUGGAAGCAUCUAAACAAACAAUGCUUGCAAUAUCCUUAUAGGCACAAGGAUAAGAACACACGGACGCUCGCAUUUGAUGCAUCCAAGGGUAAUGCUCUUGUUUCUAGGAAUUUAACAAAGAUGAUUGUUUGGAUGCUUGUAUUAGGAUGGUGGUUCGAGAUGAGCUACCUUUUAGCUUUGUGGAGGGUGAAGGGUUUAGGGAAUUUUGUAGUGUUGCAUGCCCACAAUUUAAUCCACCCUCUCGUAGAACUCUUGGAAGAAGAUUUCUAGAAAUGUACACAAAAAUGAAGGAGAAGUUGAAAGUUGACCUUCGUUCACAUAGAAUAUGUCUUACAACCGAUACUUGGAUAUCGGUUCAAAAUGUGAAUUACAUGGUGUUGACUGCCCACUUUGUGGAUUCCGACUAUAAAAUGCACAAAAGGAUCCUAAAUUUUUGUGUAAUUGAUAGUCAUAAGUGGGAGAGCAUUGGGAAAUUGCUUGAAAAUUGUUUGAUUGAUUGGGGACAUGAGAAGAUACUCACAAUUACUGCAGAUAAUGCAGCUGCCAAUACUAAGGCAAUUGAAUAUGUGAGGAAGAAAAUAAAUGGGUGGAAAGAUUCGAAUAGUGUGUUGGGAGGAGUUCACAUGCAUAUGAGGUGUAGUGCUCAUAUAAUCAACUUGAUAGUUAAGGAGGGCUUGAAGAGAUUAGAAAGCUCAAUUGUGGCAAUCCGUAAUGCGGUUAAGUUUGUGAGGUCCUCACCUUCUCGGUUGAGUUACUUCAAAAUGUGUGUUGAGACGGAAAAAAUAGAGUGCAAGGGGUUGGUGGUGAUGGAUGUGCCCACUAGGUGGAACUCCACUUAUUUGAUGCUUGAUGCGGCAUUGAAAUUUCGAAAAGCUUUUGAUAGAAUGGGGGAUGAUCCCGAUUCUUCCUACUUAAUGUACUUUAAGGAAGAUGAAGGAGAUGACAAGAGAAUUGAAGGCAUUGAAGGAAGUGGGAAAGGGAAGGGAAAGUCUAAGACUAAUAAGAGGGUGGGUCCACCUAGUGAUGAAGAUUGGGAAAAAGCCGUGACAUUUGUGAUGUUUUUGAAGACCUAUGAUGUUACUUUGAAAAUUUCAGCUUCUUUGCAUCCAACAUCACACUCAACCUUCCAUGACUUGCUUGCCAUAGAUGGGGAGAUUCGGGAGUUGUAUAGAUAUGAUGUUACAAUUCCUAUUGAAGAACGGACAACCAUGGAUACUAUUUUAAAUGAUAUGGCGGCUUCAAUGAAGAAGAAAUAUGAUAAAUAUUGGGGUGAACUUCAUAAAGUGAACCCAUUCUUGAUGAUAGGAGUUGUGAUUGACCCCCGAUUCAAGCUUCACAAUUUGAAGCACAUCUUUGAAGAAAUAUUUGAAAAUGAUCCUACUUGUGAUAGAUUGGUGGCUCAAAAGACAAAUGAGGUGAAACAACUUCUUAUGAAUAUGUAUGAAGUGUAUAAGCCUAGUAGUAACAAUAUGGGUGCUACUAGUACUACCAAUGAGAGUGGCGGUAGUACUAACAAUGAAACCGACUCUUCUUUGGUUUUUGGAGGUCGUAAACAAAAAACCAUGAUGGAAAAGUGGAAAAAAAUUCAACAAGAGAGUGAGAAUGUGGUUAUAACACAUGAAGUGGAUAGGUACUUGUUGGAUCCACUUGAAUCCAUUGAUGAGGAGUUUGAUAUACUAGGGUGGUGGAGAAUAAAUGGGCUCAAGUAUCCUACUUUGGCAUCAAUUGCAAAGGAUGUGCUUGCAAUCCCUACUUCCACAAUAGCUUCGGAGUCUUGUUUUAGCACAAGUGGGAGAGUGAUUGACUCGUUUCGAAGCUCAUUGUCUCCUAGGAUGGUUGAGGCUUUGAUUUGCUCUCAAAAUUAGAUAAGGUCCGAAGAUAUAUCUUCAUUGCAAUAUGUGCCAAGCAUUGAGGAGAUGGAGUUCUAUGAAUCAAUUGAAAUGGGUAAUAUUUUCAUUUCUAUAAGUAUAUUUGAAUCCGAUUAUUUUCUUAUUUUUAUGUGUUCUAACUCAAAUUGGUUUGAUUUAUUUUAUUAUAUUUUGUAGAAAUGGGGAGUAAAACAUCCAUGACAAAUUUGAAUAAGACUCUCCCUUCUUAGUGUGAUUAAGAUAUGUUGGAAGGUAUUUUUAUUGCAUCUUAUUUUAAUUAUGAUUUGUUGAUGGUGAAACAUUGUGUUAAUUCUUUUAAGUGUUGUGUAGGUUGCUUUGUGAAGGCUUUUGGAAGAAUGGAUGCAGCAUAUUUUUUGCAAGGAUAUUAUCUCUAUGUGUAUUUUUGUGAUGGGUUGUAAUCUUUAAUGUCAUAAGUUUAAUUUGGUUUGUGUAUUAUUUUUUGUAAUGGUUUGUAAGAGAUUAUAUUUCCUUUCCUUGGUUGGUUGGUUGAAUGUGUGUGUGAGAUUUAUUUAGUCUAGAAACUUAGAUUGGAAUGAUGGAUUUUUAUAGCUUGAAUGUACAUAAUUUCAGGUUUUGAAAGACAAGUAAAAAGUGUUUUGG
rnacentral:lncRNA from 1 species